GGAUGAACGCUAGCGACAGGCCUAACACAUGCAAGUCGAGGGGCAUCGGGACGUAGCAAUACGUUGCCGGCGACCGGCGGAUGGGUGAGUAACGCGUAUGCAACCUACCCGUAGCAGGGGGAUAGCCCGUUGAAAGACGGAUUAAUACCCCGUAACACAGGGGCUCCGCAUGGAGAUUAUUGUUAAAGGGUCAUUUCUUUUAGAGGUGGUCCGGCUACGGAUGGGCAUGCGUUCCAUUAGGUAGUUGGUGUAGGUAACGGCUCACCAAGCCGACGAUGGAUAGGGGAACUGAGAGGUUGGUCCCCCACACUGGUACUGAGACACGGACCAGACUCCUACGGGAGGCAGCAGUGAGGAAUCUUGGUCAAUGGACGCAAGUCUGAACCAGCCAUGUCGCGUGAAGGAGGACGGCCCUAAGGGUUGUAAACUUCUUUUGCAGCGGAAUAAAGUUUGCCACGAGUUGGCGAUUUGCAAGUACGCUGCGAAUAAGGAUCGGCUAACUCCGUGCCAGCAGCCGCGGUAAUACGGAGGAUCCGGGCGUUAUCCGGAUUUAUUGGGUUUAAAGGGUGCGCAGGCGGGGAUUUAGGUCGGCGGUGAAAUUUCGGGGCUCAACCUCGAUAGUGCCGUUGAAACCGUUUCUCUUGAGUGCGGAUGAGGUAGGCGGAAAUUUGUGGUGUAGCGGUGAAAAUGCGUAGAUAUCACAAGGAACACCGAUUGCGGAGGCAGCUUUACUUAAACCGUUACUGACGCUCAUGCACGAAGGCGUGGGGAUCAAACAGGAUUAGAUACCCUGGUAGUCCACGCAGUAAACGAUGAUUACUUGCUGUUUGCGAUACACAGUAAGCGGCGUAGCGAAAGCGUUAAGUAAUCCACCUGGGGAGUACGUUCGCAAGAAUG
rnacentral:rRNA from 1 species